rnacentral:rRNA from 1 species
ACUCCUACGGGAGGCAGCAGUGGGGAAUAUUGCACAAUGGGCGAAAGCCUGAUGCGGCAACGCCGCGUGAGGGACGACGGCCUUCGGGUUGUAAACCUCUUUUGGCAGGGAAGAAGCGAAAGUGACGGUACCUGCAGAAAAAGCACCGGCUAACUACGUGCCAGCAGCCGCGGUAAUACGUAGGGUGCAAGCGUUGUCCGGAAUUAUUGGGCGUAAAGAGCUCGUAGGCGGUUUGUCGCGUCUGCUGUGAAAACGCGAGGCUCAACCUCGCGCCUGCAGUGGGUACGGGCAGACUAGAGUGUGGUAGGGGAGAUUGGAAUUCCUGGUGUAGCGGUGGAAUGCGCAGAUAUCAGGAGGAACACCGAUGGCGAAGGCAGAUCUCUGGGCCAUUACUGACGCUGAGGAGCGAAAGCGUGGGGAGCGAACAGGAUUAGAUACCCUGGUAGUCCACGCCGUAAACGUUGGGAACUAGAUGUGGGGUCCAUUCCACGGAUUCCGUGUCGCAGCUAACGCAUUAAGUUCCCCGCCUGGGGAGUACGGCCGCAAGGCUAAAACUCAAAGGAAUUGACGGGGGCCCGCACAAGCGGCGGAGCAUGCGGAUUAAUUCGAUGCAACGCGAAGAACCUUACCAAGGCUUGACAUAUACCUGCAAAGGCUGGAAACAGUCUCCUCGCAAGACAGGUAUACAGGUGGUGCAUGGUUGUCGUCAGCUCGUGUCGUGAGAUGUUGGGUUAAGUCCCGCAACGAGCGCAACCCUCGUUCUAUGUUGCCAGCGCGUCAUGGCGGGAACUCAUAGGAGACUGCCGGGGUCAACUCGGA